GUACCGUGAGGGAAAGAUGAAAAGAACUUUGAAAAGAGAGUUAAACAGUACGUGAAAUUGUUGAAAGGGAAACGAUUGAAGUCAGUCAUACCAACGGGAAAUCAACCUUUUGAGCUCGGUCUCGUGGGUUUUGAAGAGUUUCAAAGCCUUCGGAUUCGCGGGAUUGGGAUCUCUCGGUGUACUUUCUCGUACGGUUAGUCAACAUCGGUUUUGAAUGUCAUAAAAUGACUGGAGGAAUGUAGCUUCGAUCUCGUAUUGAAGUGUUAUAGCCUUUGGUAGAUGUGAUGUUUGAGACCGAGGAUUGCAACGGAUACCCUUCAGGGCUAUUCGUCUGAUCUCUGAUACGUUGCCCUGAUGUUGAAAGCUUGCUUAUGAUGUUAGGGUAUUACGGUCAAAAGGUUAGAACUCAUUAGAUUCGUUAAGG
rnacentral:rRNA from 1 species